CUGUUUCACACGGAUCAGCUCAGUCAGAGGAAUCGACUCCUCCUGUUCAGUGAACUGAAUCCAUUCAAAAGAAUGAUUCGUUCAUAAACCGGACAUCACUAGCAAGGAAUAAUCAAGGGGGGGCAAUUGCCCCCCUGUAGCGACGCAGCCUAUCAAGU